GGCUCAGGACGAACGCUGGCGGCGUGCCUAAUACAUGCAAGUCGAGCGGACAGAUGGGAGCUUGCUCCCUGAUGUUAGCGGCGGACGGGUGAGUAACACGUGGGUAACCUGCCUGUAAGACUGGGAUAACUCCGGGAAACCGGGGCUAAUACCGGAUGGUUGUUUGAACCGCAUGGUUCAAACAUAAAAGGUGGCUUCGGCUACCACUUACAGAUGGACCCGCGGCGCAUUAGCUAGUUGGUGAGGUAACGGCUCACCAAGGCAACGAUGCGUAGCCGACCUGAGAGGGUGAUCGGCCACACUGGGACUGAGACACGGCCCAGACUCCUACGGGAGGCAGCAGUAGGGAAUCUUCCGCAAUGGACGAAAGUCUGACGGAGCAACGCCGCGUGAGUGAUGAAGGUUUUCGGAUCGUAAAGCUCUGUUGUUAGGGAAGAACAAGUACCGUUCRAAUAGGGCGGUACC
rnacentral:rRNA from 1 species